UAAUAACUUAACGAAUCGCAUGGCCUUGUGCCGGCGAUGGUUCAUUCAAAUUUCUGCCCUAUCAACUUUCGAUGGUAGGAUAGUGGCCUACCAUGGUUUCAACGGGUAACGGGGAAUUAGGGUUCUAUUCCGGAGAGGGAGCCUGAGAAACGGCUACCACAUCCAAGGAAGGCAGCAGGCGCGCAAAUUACCCAAUCCCGACACGGGGAGGUAGUGACAAUAAAUACUGAUACAGGGCUCUUUUGAGUCUUGUAAUUGGAAUGAGUACAAUUUAAAUCCCUUAACGAGGAACAAUUGGAGGGCAAGUCUGGUGCCAGCAGCCGCGGUAAUUCCAGCUCCAAUAGCGUAUAUUAAAGUUGUUGCAGUUAAAAAGCUCGUAGUUGAACCUUGGGCCUGGCUGGCCGGUCCGCCUCACCGCGUGCACUGGUCCGGCCGGGCCUUUCCUCCUGGGGAGCCGCAUGCCCUUCACUGGGUGUGUCGGGGAACCAGGACUUUUACUUUGAAAAAAUUAGAGUGUUCAAAGCAGGCCUAUGCUCGAAUACAUUAGCAUGGAAUAAUAGAAUAGGACGUGUGGUUCUAUUUUGUUGGUUUCUAGGACCGCCGUAAUGAUUAAUAGGGAUAGUCGGGGGCAUCAGUAUUCAAUUGUCAGAGGUGAAAUUCUUGGAUUUAUUGAAGACUAACUACUGCGAAAGCAUUUGCCAAGGAUGUUUUCAUUAAUCAGUGAACGAAAGUUAGGGGAUCGAAGACGAUCAGAUACCGUCGUAGUCUUAACCAUAAACUAUGCCGACUAGGGAUCGGGCGAUGUUAUCUUUUUGACUCGCUCGGCACCUUACGAGAAAUCAAAGUUUUUGGGUUCUGGGGGGAGUAUGGUCGCAAGGCUGAAACUUAAAGAAAUUGACGGAAGGGCACCACCAGGAGUGGAGCCAAACUUAGUUUCGUCGCAGCAAACUCUGCUCCAGAAAGCAGCCCGAAAGGGUAAGUGGUGUCCUCAUUAAAUGCUAGUCUGCCCCCGUGGCAGGCGACACCCUCAAACUGCGGGGAACUCCUAAAGCUUCUAGGUACCAAGUCAGCGCGCGAAAGCCGCUGGCGGCCAGGUUAAUUGCCUCGGGUACGGUCAAAACCCUAGAAGAUGCUACAAUGGACAAUCCGCAUCCAAGCUCCUAAGAGACUCCGGUCUUAUGGAGAAGGUUCAGAGACUUGAUGGGGGUGGGUUUGAGCUCAUGACGUUCGUGAGAGAAACUCAGGCUUAAGGUAAAGUCCGGCUGCCAGAGAAAUCUGGUCGGAAUGAAAUAUCGGGAGCCUGCGGCUUAAUUUGACUCAACACGGGGAAACUCACCAGGUCCAGACACAAU
rnacentral:ncRNA from 1 species